GAUGAACGCUGGCGGCGUGCCUAAUACAUGCAAGUCGAGCGAGCGGCGGGAGGGUGAGUAAUGUCUGGGAACCCGCCUGAAGGAGGGGGAUCACUACUGGAAAAGGUAGCUAAUCCCGCAUACCAUCAGAUGUGCGCAGAUGGGAAUAGCUAGACGGUGGGGUAACGGCUCACCUAGGCGACGAUCCCUAGCUGGUCUGAGCGGUUGAUCAGCCACACUGGAACUGAGACACGGCCCAGACUCCUACGGGAGGCAGCAGUGGGGAAUAUUGCACAAUGGACGCAAGCCUGAUGGAGCCAUGCCGCGUGAAUGAAGAAGGCCUUCGGGUUGUAAAGUACUUUCAGCGGAGAGGCGUUACCCACAGAAGAAGCACCGGCUAACUCCGUGCCAGCAGCCGCGGUAAUUC
rnacentral:rRNA from 1 species